UACGGAGGAUGCGAGCGUUAUCCGGAUUUAUUGGGUUUAAAGGGUGCGUAGGCGGGAUGCCAAGUCAGCGGUAAAAAUGCGGUGCUCAACGCCGUCGAGCCGUUGAAACUGAUGAUCUUGAGUGGGCGAGAAGUAUGCGGAAUGCGUGGUGUAGCGGUGAAAUGCAUAGAUAUCACGCAGAACUCCGAUUGCGAAGGCAGCAUACCGGCGCCCGACUGACGCUGAAGCACGAAAGCGUGGGUAUCGAACAGG
rnacentral:rRNA from 1 species